rnacentral:rRNA from 1 species
CGUAGGGUGCAAGCGUUAAUCGGAAUUACUGGGCGUAAAGCGUGCGCAGGCGGUUAUGUAAGACAGAGGUGAAAUCCCCGGGCUCAACCUGGGAACUGCCUUUGUGACUGCAUAGCUAGAGUACGGCAGAGGGGGAUGGAAUUCCGCGUGUAGCAGUGAAAUGCGUAGAUAUGCGGAGGAACACCGAUGGCGAAGGCAAUCCCCUGGGCCUGUACUGACGCUCAUGCACGAAAGCGUGGGGAGCAAACAGGAUUAGAUACCCUGGUAGUCCACGCCCUAAACGAUGUCAACUGGUUGUUGGGUCUUCACUGACUCAGUAACGAAGCUAACGCGUGAAGUUGACCGCCUGGGGAGUACGGCCGCAAGGUUAA